UAGUCUGGUGCAGCAGCCGCGGUAAUUCCAGCUCCAAUAGCGUAUAUUAAAGUUGUUGCAGUUAAAACGCUCGUAGUCGGAUUUCGGGGCAGGUUUGCCGGUCUGCCGAUGGGUAUGCACUGGUAGAACUGUCCUUCCUUCCGGAGACGGCGCCUACUCUUAACUGAGCGGGUGUCGGAGACGGAUCGUUUACUUUGAAAAAAUCAGAGUGUUUCAAGCAGGCAGCUCGCUUUUGCAUGGAUUAGCAUGGGAUAAUGAAAUAGGACUUUGGUGCUAUUUUGUUGGUUUCGAACACCGAAGUAAUGAUUAACAGGGACAGUCAGGGGCACUCGUAUUCCGCCGAGAGAGGUGAAAUUCUUAGACCAGCGGAAGACGAACCACUGCGAAAGCAUUUGCCAGGGAUGUUUUCACUGAUCAAGAACGAAAGUUAGGGGAUCGAAGACGAUCAGAUACCGUCGUAGUCUUAACCAUAAACCAUGCCGACUAGGGAUUGGAGGAUGUUCCUAUGUGACUCCUUCAGCACCUUUCGGGAAACUAAAGUCUUUGGGUUCCGGGGGGAGUAUGGUCGCAAGGCUGAAACUUAAAGGAAUUGACGGAAGGGCACCACCAGGAGUGGAGCCUGCGGCUUAAUUUGACUCAACACGGGGAAACUUACCAGGUCCAGACAUUGUGAGGAUUGACAGAUUGAGAGCUCUUUCUUGAUUCGAUGGGUGGUGGUGCAUGGCCGUUCUU
rnacentral:rRNA from 1 species